AAAAAGGGCUUCUGUUGUGAGUGGCACACACAGGGCAACUUGAUUGCUCUGUGUGCGGAAUCAAUAUCAAGAGAUUUCAGAAUCAUAAUUUUUUGGUAUUUGGGCAGCUGGUGAUUGUUGGUCCUGGCACCUGU